rnacentral:lncRNA from 1 species
AUUUUAGAAUAUCCUUGUCUUAGCCCAGGUUACAUCAACUGGCUUAUUUAGAGCUUCAUUGAACAAUAUUAGCAUUUAAGUGUAUUAAUUUUAAAAUGUGAUUGUGUAUGCAAAUCAUUAGCUAGACAUGGCGUUAUACUUCAGAAAAAUUAAUUACAAAUCACUUUAUUCUAAUUGGAAAUGUGAAAAUUUAGACUUUGGGAAAAAACCCACAAAACUUAGUUUAACCCUUUGGUUUCCACUUCAUUGUUUUGACUCUGUAUUAUAAUAAAUAUUGAAAAUAGAUCCUGGACAGCAGAACCAUAUACAUUAAUGUAAGGCCUGUCUAAUACCAAGGGCUAUCAUUAGACUCUUCGUAUCUUAGCUUCUGUUUCAGGAAGUGUUAUAUUGUUAAGACUGGACGUUGGUAUGGGCCUGAAUCAUUUACUUGUAUAGCCAUUUAGUGUUGUAACUGUGACCUGUGUCACCUGUUACAGUGCAGGGAGCCUUGUGCCUUCAUGUGUAGUUAUAACUUAAGGUAAUGCAAAAACAAUUGAUGAUUCACUAAUGAAUAUAUUACAUAGUUUUAAAAAGCACCGAGACGAUUCUCCAUGCAUUGCUUUAAAGCAAAGUUAUAGAUGCCGUUUUCUUUGCUGUUUUUAGGUUUAAAACUCUGAUCUUUAAUUUUAAUAACAGAAGCUUUGAUUAUGAAAUACAGAGUCAUAAAAUAAUCGAUUAAAUUCCUUAAUUGUCAUUUAUUAAAAUAAUGAAUAAUCAGAAGUUGAUCUUCUUGAUGACUUAUUUUUCUAAACAAUAAUUGGUCCUGAGCAUUUUAUUACUAAGAUGUUUUAUUCACUUUAAUGGAUAGCUUAAUCCUUUGAACCAGUAAAUAUCUUUCUUUUGCU